rnacentral:rRNA from 1 species
GACGAACGCUGGCGGCGUGCUUAACACAUGCAAGUCGAACGGAAAGGCCCUGCUUUUGUGGGGUGCUCGAGUGGCGAACGGGUGAGUAACACGUGAGUAACCUGCCCUUGACGUUGGGAUAACUUCAGGAAACUGGGGCUAAUACCGGAUAGGAGCUCCUGCUGGAGGGUGGGGGUUGGAAAGUUUCGGCGGUAGGGGAUGGAUUGGCGGCUUAUCAGCUGGUUGGUGGGGUAGUGGCUUACCAAGGUUUUGACGGGUAGCCGGCAUGGGAGGGUAGCCGGCGUCCUUGCGCCUGCGGUACGCCCCAGUGUCCUACGUGAGGCAGCAGUGGGGAGUCUUGCCCAAUGGGGCCGCGUCUGUUGCGGAAGUCCCCCGUGCGGGAUGCACGCUUUCGGGUUGUAAACCGCUUUCGCCUGUUACCUUGCGUGAUUGACGGUACCGGCUAAAGAAGCACCGGCUAACUACGUG